GCAAUGCAGCACGUGAUGAUGGGUGCUGUAUUACCUCUCUCAGACAAUUUGUACCUUAAUUUUACGACUGAAAUUUACCUAGUCGCCUAGGGGUUGCCUUCGUUGUGGAAUAUAGGUAAACGUACAGGACCUAUAGCCCUCGGCUGAGUCUGCACAAAUGUUCUCAGUGUCCUUGGAUACUCUCAGCCUUCGAAAGAAUCAACAAUGUCGCCAAGCAGCGUUCUCCAAAAUUUCAGUGUAUUUUGUCAACAAUGAUUGUACAUGUAUAUAUUGUAAGAACUCAAAUGGACGCUCUUGUUACAGUAGGCCUACUGAGCAUGCUGGACUCUCAUGCAUGAUAGACUCUUGAACUUUUUGAUAUGAACUGACAAUAAUGGACUGAACAUGUGAAAUGUGUUUUGUCGAAUGAUCUGAAUGACGAUUUGUGGAGUUCGACAUGGGAAAUUCACGUUGGGUGAGUUUGUACCAAAUCUAUUCUGGAAUACAACCUGGGUGAGUGUUUACUGUCUGUUUCUUUGUUUCAAAACCAAGAAAAGGUGUUGUAUCUGAACUCAGAUGGAAAGGAAUUCCAAGGGUUGAAUUUAAUUGAAUGCUGUAAUAGAAAAUCCGACUCGAGCAUGCUGAAACGGUAUCACAGGCCAAAGUUUCAAUAGAAACUUUAUUGAAAGCCUGCAUUCCAUACGUUGAACAGUUUGUAAAGGAAUUCGCAUAUCAAAAAGACAGCACGUGCUUGCAUAAAUUACGAUCCGAGGCAUUCAAAGGUCCAUGGGACAACAGUGAAAUCGAAGAGAACGAGCAUUUGCUUUUCAUGAUUUACGUAAACGAGCGUCAAGAAGGUUUCUCAAAUUACACACUGUCGUGAAUGUGGAAAUGGCAUCCGAUAAAUGACGAAAAUGAGUGCUUACCACGAAACCCACGCAUUUGUUUGUCGAGGUAUAGGCUAAAUAACCAUUCGAAAAAAUGCCACUUAUGACCUUGACUGUUCGAUACGUGAAUGUAUUCCAAAUUUGGUCACGCUAACCCCGCCUGUAGAAAUAUCACGGAAACAAAAUGUGUCGAAUAUGUAAAUGCGAAAUUUUGUCAACGUGUGGUUCAUUCGGAAACAAAAGGGAACGCCGCGAGCUGACCACGUCACCUGACCAUGUCUACUCCGUGAAUUCGUACAUGUGAACAAACGCAUAUAGACGAUUUUCCAAAAUGUAUUGUCCUCGAGGUGGGAACACUCCGAUAAAUCACAAAAAUGAACGCUUACGAGACCCACACGUUUCCGUCGAUUUUUUCUUCGAAUCAUUUCAGUUUGCUCAAGGUGUAAAUACUGUUCGAAAAUUUACAACUUAAUUGUAAACGAUGCGUGAAUAUAUCACUCUAAUUUGCUUCAUGUGUUAAAAUACUAUUCGAAUAAUUUAAACUUACGAGGUGAUCAUACGAUGCAUUAAGGUACACUGGCGUUCAAAUUUUACUGAACACUGUAAAUCUGAUCGAAAUACUGUAUUCGGGGUGACUGCAGAAUAUGUAAAUUUCAUAUUUCGUCGGUGUGGUCACCAUUUGAUAGAGUGACUGCGGAGUGACCCUGUCAAAAGUCAAAAUUUCGUUGCACGAAUAAAUUCUCGUCCUCUUCGAUUGAAUAACUCGUUCAUAAACCACUCCAGACGAAGACAUAAGAAUUAAUGUCGUUAUUAUACCGGUAGCUUUUCAUGUACAAACUCGUUUUGCUCCCCUGUAAGUUUUAAUAUCUGUUAGUCACGUGCCUGGUUGUUAGGUCACGUGAAGAUUUUUUUCCAUGACCAAACGUUGAUGAUCAACGUCAUCUGUAUGAAAAUGGCCGAGUGGCUUAAAAUAAUCGUAAACCCGAUCUAUAAUGGGUUUUUUAAAUUCCAGUUAGGACAACAGAGUUCGAGAUUGCUUGAUUGAAGUGCAAAAAUGAAAAGGCAACUCGCAAAUUGAUUCUCAAUAUUAAAGUGAAUGUGAAAUAUUGUUAUUCUUCAAUGUGGCCAUGGUAACGACAAUGUUUGUAUGGUAUUUACAAUUGAUAUUGUAUUGGGUGUCUGGUAAAAUUAAUUGUACUUUCAAUUGCUGUUUAAAAAUAGAGGCUGUGAUAUGUGGCCUGUGACUUCAUUGACUGUAAGACCGGUCAGAUUAGACUGGCAGGGGAUGUAUUGCUGUAGUAAUGUCGGCCAAGUUUUAAAAAGUAAAUCUAAGCCUCGAGGCGAGGCCAAGGAAUCGGUGUUGGUCAAAGUAUUCCUUUUGCAUGAAUGACAUGCAUGGAAACAGUGUCAAGACAGUUUUGCAAAAUGCACAAUCCCCGAGGAUUACGCCCGAGAAAUCACGAGAACGAGCGCUUACGACGAGAUCGUCAUUUUUGUUGUAUGUGUACAAACCGAUGUAUUGGGCGUGUGCUAAAAUGAUUCAUAAAUUUUGUAAUCAAAUUGUGGUUUUAAAAUACAGGUUGUAACGUUCAGUGUGUCCUCGUUGACUAUAAAAUCGGUCCGAUUAGACUGACUGGGAAUGUACUGCUGUAGUACUGUCGACCAAGUUUUAGAAAGUAAAUCAUAGCCUCGAGGCCAAGGAAUCGAUGUUGGUCAAAGUAUUCCUUUUGCGUGAAUGACAUGCAUGUUAACAGUGUCAAGACAUUUUUUUUGCAAAAUGCACGAUCCCCGAGGAUUACGGUGUAUGAGAAAUCACGAAAACGAGCGCUUACGACGAGAUCGAAGUUUUCUGAUGUUUUAAGUCGAAAUUUUAAAUACACACACUAGUCGAUUGUUUUACAACUUAACAAGGUAAUCAUCCUACACGUUAAUGUAUUCGAUUUCCGGACUCGUAAAUACUUUUCGAAUAGUUGUAAUCUACAUGUACGAGCUGAUCAAAAGAUGCGUGAAUGUAUCAUUCUUGUAUGCAGGAUAUCUGAAAUCCACGUUUCGUUAAGUUGUCAAAAUUUAAUAAAAUAACGUGUAAAAAGGGGCUGAUCAUGCUCCAAAGUCACGAUUUCCUUCCACUAAUAAUUUCUGUCAUCGGCUACGAAUAAAUAACUCUGCAUACGCCUACAUGUAAAAGGAGCAGUUCUGUCGACAGCGUUGACACCAAGUUAUGAAUAUGUACAUGUCAAUUUCUCAACUUUUUUUCGUGUCCAAAGUAUUCCUUGGACAAUACAUUGCUCCCUUGUGAUUGUUAAUAUCUGUAAGUCACGUGACAAGUCGUUAGGUCACGUGCAGAUUUUUUUCCAUGCCCAAACGUUGAUUUCAUCCGUAUGAAAAUGGCUAAUGGUGCCUAAAGAGAAUUGUAAGCCCGACCUAUAAGAUCGGCAAUCGUGUAUAGGCCUAAUUGGUAUUUGUAUCUGGCCAGGACGUUUCAGAUCACGGUGAUUUGGGGAAAAACCGCUUCCAAUUUAUUAAAGGUCAAGGUGAAUGCGAAAUUCGUUAUUCUUGUAAACGUUAUUCUUGUAUGUGUCAUACCACAUACUUUUUUUAUAUCAAAUUGUAGUUUUAAAUGCAGGUUGAAAUAUGCGCAGUGUGUCUUAAUUUACUGUAAGAUCGGUCAGAUUAGACCGGCUGGGGGUGUAUUACUCUGAUACUGUCAGCCAAGUUUUAAAAAGUAAAUCUUACAGCCUCGAGGCCAAGGAAUCAAUGUUGGUCAAAGUCAUCCUUUAGCGAAAGUUAUAGUAACAGUGUUAGGACGGUUUCGCAAACUAAACGAUCCCCGAGGGUUUAACUGGUAUCCAAGACAUCACGAAAACGAGCGCUUACGAUGAGGUCGAAGUUUAAAUACUAAUCCAAUAGUUGACGAUUAACUUAAUAAGGUCAUCCGAUAAGUGCAUGUAUUUGAGUUUUGGACUCUUUUGUCCCUUUCGAAAUUAUCUACCUACCUUCACUAUCAUCAAUGCAAAGGUGUAAUAUGACUGUAAGACACGUGACAUGUUUGUGGGUCACGUGCCAGGUUUUUCGUUUUGUAAAUGCGACUUUUGGCAUGGCGAAGACUUUGCUCUUCUACGAGAUGUAAGUCCAGUCGAGCAUCUGGCAACUGGCAGAAGUAUGUGGGAGUUGCAUAAUGUCUUGAAGGUUUUUCGAACGUGCACUGAAAGCGAAUACAAAUGUUCUUUGACAGUAACCUGCGGCUUCACCGGAAUUCAAAAUGAGUGUAAGUCACGUGACUCGUUUUUAAGCCACGUGAAGAUAUUUUUUCCGUGACCAAACGUUGAUUUCAUCCGUACAAAAAUGGCUAAGAGUGCCUAAAAAUAAUCGUAAACCCGACCUAUAAUAGUUUUGUUUUUAUCCGGUUGGGACAAGAGUUUAAGAUUGUGUGAUUGAAGUGCAUUCACGAAAAGACAACUUGCAAUUUUUCAAUAUCAAAGUAAAUGCAAAAUGACGUGUUUUUUUUAUGGGGCCAUGGUAACGACAAUGCUUGUAUGAUAUUUACAAUUGAUGUAAUGGGUGUGUGGUAAAAUUAAUAGUACUAUUUUUGUCAAAUUGCAGUUUAAAAAUAGAGGCUGUAAUGUGUGGCAUGUGACUUCAUCGACUGUAUAAGACCGGUCAGAUUAGACUGACUGGAAAUGUAUUACUGUGGUACUCGGUCAGCCAAGGUUUAAACAGUAAAUCUUAACCUCGAGGCCAAGAAAUCGGUGUUGGUCAAAGUAUUCCAUUUUCGUGAAUGACAUGCAUGUAAACAGUGUCAAGACAGUUUUGCAAAAUGCACGAUCCCCGAGGAUUACGGUGUAUGAGAAAUCACGAGAACGAGCGCUUACGACGAGAUCGACGUUUUCUGAUGUUUUAAGUCGAAAUUUUAAGUACACACACCAGUCGAAUAGUUUACAACUUAAAUUAACAAGGUAAUCAUCCUACAUGUUAAUGUAUUCGAUUUUCGGACUUUUUGUAAAUACUUUUCAAAUAGUUGUAACCUACGAGCUGAUCAAAGAUGCAUGAAUGUAUCAUUCUAGCAUGCACGGAUAUGUGAAAUCUGCAUUUCAUUAAGUUGUCACCAUUUAAUAAAAUAACAUGUAAAAAGGGGCUGAUCAUGCCCAAAAGUUAAGAUUUUGUUACUCUAAUAAUUUCUGUCAUCUGCUACGAGUAAAUAACUUGGCAUACGCCUACAUGUAAAAGGAGCAGUUUUGUAAGUUAUGUACAUGUUAAUUUCUCAAAUCUUUUCAUGUGCAAAGUACUGGACCAUAUAUUGCUCCCUUGUGAUUGUUAAUUAAUAUCUAUAAGUCACGUGACUGGUCGUUAGGUCACGCGCAGAUUUUUUUCCCAUGACCAAACGUUGAUUCCACCCGUAUAUGAAAAUGGUUAAUAAUGCCUAAAGGUGAUUGUAAGCCCCAUCUAUAAGAUCGACACUCGUGUGAAGGCCUAAUUGAUUUUGUAUCCAGCCACGACAACGUGCGUUUUUGGAAAAACCACUUGGAUUUUUUGAAGGUCAAGCUAAAUGCAAAAUAACUUUAUUCUUAUAUGUGGUGUGCAAUUGGUGUCUUGGGUGUAUGCCCAAUUUAUUCAAAUUUCUAAUCAAAUUGUGGUUUUAAAAUAGGCCUACAGGUUGAAAUAUAUGCAAUGUGUCUUCAUUGACUGUAAAACUGGCCAGAUUAGACCGGCUGGGGAUGUAUUACUCUGAAACUCUGUCAGCCAAGUUUUAAAAAGUAAAUCUUCUAGUCUCGAGGCCAAGGAAUCAAUGUUGGUCAUUCUUUAGCGAAAGUUAUAGUAAGUGUUAAGACGGUUUCGCAAACUAUACGAUCCCCGAGGUUUAACUGGUAUCCGAGAUAUCACGAAAACGAGCGCUUACGAUGAGAUCGAGCAUUUCGAUGUUUUCUUCGAAGUUUUAAAUACUAUUCCAAUAGUUGACAAUUAACUUAAGGUCAUCCGAUAAGUGCAUGUAUUUGAGUUUUGGACUCCUUUUGUCCCUUUCGAAAAUAUCUGCCUACCUUCACUAUGAUCAAUGCAAAGGUGUAAUAUGACUGUAAGACACGUGACAUGUUUGUGGGUCACGUGCCAGGUUUUUCGUUUUGUAAAUGCGACUUUUGGCAUGGUGAAGACUUUGCUCUUCCACGAGAUGUUAGCAAGUCCAGUCAAGCAUCUGGCAACUAGCAGGGGUUGUGAGAGUUGCAUAAAUUUCUUAAAUGUUUGUCGAACGUGCACUGAAAGCGAAGUUAAAUAUUCUUUGACAGUAACCUGCGGCUUCACCGUAAUCCAAAAUGAGUGAAAGUCACGUGACUCGUUUUUAGGCCACGUGUAGAUUUUUUCAAAGACCAAACGUUAAUUUCAUCCGUACAAAAAUGGCUAAGAGUGCCUAAAAAUAAUCGUAAACCCGACCAAUAAUGGUUUUUUAUCCGAAUCCAUUUAAUAAAAUAACAUGUAAAAAGGGCUGACUAUGCCCAAAAGUCAAGAUUUUGUUACACUAAUAAUUUCUGUCAUCUGCUACGAGUAAAUAACUCGGCAUACGCCUACAUGUAAAAGGGGCAGUUUUGUAAGUCAUGUACAUGUUAAUUUCUCAAAUCUUUUCACGUGCAAAGUACUGGACCAUAUAUUGCUCCCUUGUGAUUGUUAAUUAAUAUCUGUAAGUCACGUGACUGGUCGUUAGGUCACGCGCAGAUUUUUUCCCAUGACCAAACGUUGAUUUCAUCUGUAUGAAAAUGGUUAAUAAUGCCUAAAGAUGAUUGUUAGCCCGAUCUUAUAAGAUCGACAGUCGUGUAAAGGCCUAAUUGAUUUUGUAUCCAGCCAGGACAACGUGCGUUUUUGGAAAAACCACUUGGAAUUUUUGAAGGUCAAGCUAAAUGCAAAAUAACUUUAUUCUUAUAUGUGGUGUGCAAUUGGUGUCUUGGGUGUAUGCUCAAUUUAUUCAAAUUUUAAAUCAAAUUGUGGUUUUAAAAUAGGCCUUCAGGUUCAAAUAUGCGCAGUGUGUCUUAGUUUACUGUAAGAUCGGUCAGAUUUGACCGGCUGGGGAUGUAUUACUCUGAUACUCUGUCAGCCAAGUUUUAAAAAGUAAAUCUUCUACCCUCGAGGCCAAGGAAUCAAUGUUGGUCAAAGUCAUCCUUUAGCGAAAGUUGUAGUAACAGUGUCAAGACGGUUUCGCAAACUAUACGGUUUAACUGGUAUCCGAAAUAUCACGAAAACGAGCGCUUACGAUGAGGUCGAAGUUUUAAAUACUAAUCCAAUAGUUGACGAUUUACUUAAUAAGGUCAUCCGAUAAGUGCAUGUAUUUGAGUUUUUGACUCUUUGUCCCUUUCGAAAAUAUCUGCCUACCUUCACUAUCAUCAAUGCAAAGCUGUAAUGUGACCGUAUGACACGUGACAUGUUUGUGGGUCAUGUGCCAGGUUUUCCGUUUUGUAAAUACCUGCACGGCUUUUGGCAUGGCGAAGACUUUGCUCCUCUGCGAGAUGUUAGCAAGUCCAGUCAAGCAACUGGCAACUAGCAGGGGGUGUGAAAGUUGCAUAAUUUCUUAAAUGUUUGUCGAACGUGCACUGAAAGCGAAGUUAAAUAUUCUUUGACAAUAACCUGCGGCUUCAGUGCAAUUCAAAAUAAGUGUAAGUCACAUGACUCAUUUUUAGUUCAUGUGCAGCUAUUUUUCUCAUGAGCAAAAUGGUGAUAAAUGUAUCUGUAUGGUACAUGGCUGCAGAGCCCGGUGUAAUAUUGUCAUUUUAUUGUAUCCAGUUGAGACGAGAGAUCAUAGUGAUAUGAACAGCGAUGUGUGGAAAAUAUCGCGAAUGCGGUUUGGUGAUUGUUUCAUAACCCUCGGGAAUGUGGUACAAUGUUAUGUUAAUGACUAAUAACAUUGGCACAUAAUGGAGUUCACAAGCGUAUAGGCCUACCCGGCUGCCCAGUUAUGUUGGAUUUUUUAUUCUUAAGUUUGACUUUAUAGACUUAAGACUGAAUGUGGUAAGAAACUACAGGUUUUAAUGCACAUAAGUGGGUCGAUUGUAAUUUCUCGUUUAACUGUAUACUGUUUAUUGUUAUUACCAUGGAUAUCGACAGUACUGUAUUAUUUUGUGCGGUUGGGGCCCCACGGGUUAUAAGACGUGCAGCUUGAUUGCAUGCUGCUCUUUCGCCUUGUCCCCUUAGCUAUUGUCAUUCUGCUUGCAGUCAUACAAGUGGAAAUUUUAUUCUCCAGUGACUGCGUAAGUUAUAAGACUGAUCAAAAAAAUAAUAUACUGCCAUGGAAGUAUUUUUUUUUGCAUUGUAACCCUCUUCACUAAGUUGUAGCGCUGUAAAUCAGUGUCUGCAAAUAACUCCAAGGGAAAUUGAUUGAGGUUGCAAAAAGCUCGAAACUUUAAAUAACACUUGUCGUUUUCCUCGUCAACCCUGCACUCGUUUUUGUAACCAUGCAUGGUGGAAUGAAAUAACUUCGAGUCGGGUAAAUGUCGCAAACGCUUGAUUCGCCGUCGUCUGCUCCUGUAACCCGGAACCGAUAACAAUGUAAGGUCUGGCCAGCAACGAAGAGGCACUGAUGCGCCGCGGUUUGGACAUUACGCACAGCGUUGAAAUUUGGGAAAUGUUUUGUAUCGAGUAACAGGCGAUUUAAAGUAGGCAGCUGCUUUUAUUUGAAGGCCUACAUUAUUAUGCUGAUAGCCGAAUGGUAUCGGCUAUCGAGUAACGUAAGGGUACAGUUUAUUAAACCAAUUAGGUGUUAUACAUGUAUAUCUGUAAUGAAUAAUGUGCAGGCUUACUAAAAGAUUACUUCAGUGAGGCUUAGAUUUAGUGAGGCUUAGAACGGUACGUUGUCAGGAUUAGUGUACAGUUGGCCAGGUAUUUUUGCUUGUACUAUGAUUUGAGCAGUGCCAUUCAUCCAGUCCUAGCUCCUUGCAAGGACGAGUACUUUUCUUUCCGUACUUGCUUCCAGUGUAGCCGUGACUGAGAUGAGGUUCUUGAUGACGAGGCAGCUGAGGUGGCAUCUGACGGCGACAUGCCUGGACAGAAGAUGCUGCUCAGAACCAGAACUGGGGGAAGAUGGAUGACCAAUCGCCGGCACGCUGCUGUCGCACCCCGUUGGUCUACCUAUAAAGACUGACCCACGAUGGCACUUUACCAGAUGACAUGCAGAAGGACAGGCAACCAUGCAUCGAUGGCCAUGGAUUCGGCUUUCUCAGUUGCGGACGUAUUCAGAUAGCCAUUAGAGACGGAGACUGCUGCCCCUUACCAGAUCUGGUCCGAGGGAUGACUCAAAAGAAGCGACGUUCCCUUCCCAUCCAGACGAUUGCUGUGGUCUUCAAGUUUCGAUUAAAAAACCUAAAUUUUAACCAAACGUUUUCCCCUGAACGCGGGAAUUUUAAAUUUCAUACCUUUAAACCGCCCUCUCGUCGCCUACUGUUUGCAUUUGUGGCCAAACUUUGCAAACAAAAUAUAUGUUAAUUUCACUGACCUCAAAAUGUUUGCCCCAUCACUUUUAUAGGCUUCAGUAUUUUAGUUUAAGUAGUUUUGUUAAUUGUUUUUGAAGCUGCAUGACAUUUUCUUAAUGCUUUGUAAAUAGAUUUUUGUUAUUGCACUGACGGUAUCAAUCCAGUUUUAUCAGCCAUCGUAGAAAAAAGACUAUGAAGGAGAAUUAACGGACUCUUUAAAUGAUACAUUUUAACCUUUACAUUCCUGAAUAUUUAAUUUCCACAAAAUUGUUUUAUCAUGGGCAUAUAGGGUUAGGAUUUUCAAGUGGAAUUUAUUUUGUACGACUUCAUUUUGUUUUGCUUUUCAACUUUGGGGUCAAACCUUCAACAGGUGCAAUGAACUUCAAUCAGUUGACCCAGUAUAAUAUAUCAUUCUCGUGUUAAUGCACAGUAUAACUUAAGAAAUUAUCAAUGUCUCACUGUGUAACUUAAAGAUUUUAAAAUGACUAAUUUUGGUGAGAUAAAUAUGACCUAGUUACUUUUGCCAUUUAAAAAAUUCUAGAUAACGCACAAACAAAAUCCACAGCAUUCCUCAAACAAUAACCUUUUAAGGUCAUAUUAGCUUAUGGUCACUGUCCCACGACGUUUAAUAUUUUUGGUUUCCCAUUAUACCGUCUUUCAGCCUUUGGAAAAAUACCAUUUUAAUGGGUUCUUUUGUCUUUAAAUAACCUUUAGGAGUCACAUUAGUAAACAUUCUGAAAUUACAACAACGAAAUUACAACGUGGUUGCCAGUAAUGCGAUCGCCUCAAAUCAAAAAUGGAGUUCUGUCCAGUUGUAUAAAAACUGUA